rnacentral:sRNA from 1 species
GAGAAUGGCUUGAGCCUGGAGACAGAGGUUACAGUGAACUGAGAUCACAUCAUUGCACUCUCCAGCCUAGUCGACACAGCGAGACUCUGUCUCAAGAAAAAAAAAAAAAAGAGUUGAGUGCACCUGAAUCCAACCCCUGCCUCAUCCCUCUCCCUUGAAGGCCAAAUACACCCUUAUACUUUUCACCAAAGAGUAGAAACAACACCAUCCACUUGACCCCAAAUGUGACUUUCCACAGGAUGCAAGCACAGUGUUGGAAUGGCCAAUGACAGUGACAAUGAAAGUGCAGGCUGAGGGUGAUGAACAGGACACACUGGAGAGCCUGACAUUGGCCUAGACUAUGGGGGUGUCUUGAUGCUUCACAAAGAGCCCAAGGAGCACCCCAAAGAGGAC